CCCGAGGGCUGAAGGGCGGGUGCUUAAGUGUGCGCGGCCUAGGCGCCGGCGUGGGACUCCGGCCAGGGGAGUUCUGCUAUUUUACAGGACUCAAGCCUAGAGGAAGGUGCUGAGAAUUUGCUGGGCCUCUAGGGAGAGGCCGACCUGGAAGCAAGGAUUCAACGGGUCAAAUUGUGGAGGACAGACAGAAAGUAAACUGCUCAUGGGAGAAGCAGCUUCAGCCUUUGGGGUAGAGCUUCACCCUUUUGGAGGAUGCGAAAGCAUUGUUCUGGAACUCAGAAGACUUGGAUUUCAGGCACAGUUCCUUGUGGCCAGGAGACCUUGAAGAAGACACUGUCCUUCGAGAGCCAUCGAACUCAAAGUUGUUGCUCUGCUCCAGAUUUCACGGGGAGAUUCAGUUCAUUUCAGCGAGCGCAAUUAGGUGACUCCCAGGGGUUAAGUGCUGAUGUGUGGAUGUGCAGAUGCAAGAGGACAGCUCAACCUUCCAGUCCCCCAGACAGCAAUUCUCCAUCACAGCUUUGCCGUCUCUGGUCUGGAUCCCCUCCUCUGUGUGACUGCAGCCUCCAUCCUGGCCCAGGCCCCCAUCACCUCUCCUUUGGACACCGGCAAUUCCUCUUCCUUCCUGGUCUCCCCGUGUGCCGUCUCUCCUCUCGCCCUAACCAACACCCUGAGAGCUCCGGCCCCCUCAAGUCUCUCCUCUGCUCUGCAAGCUUGUGUGACGGCUUCCUAUCACCUCCAGGAUCCGAUCCGAAGGGCAUUUCAAGCCUUUCGUUACCUGGUUCCAGCCUAUUCCAGGCUGGUUACUCUUCCCGCCCCCUACCCCGGCACUUUGCACCCUGGACCAGCUGACCUUCUUGCUGUCCGUUAUCUGUGGCUCCCAGAUCUUUGUCCCAUCUGUCUUCAAUGCCAGGACCCUGAACUCCCUUCAAAGCUCAGCCCAAGUGCCGCCUCUCCAAUUUCAUUCCCGUCUCCUUACUGCCCCCCUCCAAUUUCCAGCCAAAAU